rnacentral:rRNA from 1 species
UACAGAGGGGGCCAGCGUUAUUCGGAAUUAUUGGGCGUAAAGGGCGCGUAGGCGGCCAUGCGUGUCUUCCGUGAAAUCCCUCGGCUUAACUGAGGACGUGCGGAAGAAACUGCAAGGCUUGAGUCCGGGAGAGGGGGGUGGAAUUCCCAGUGUAGCGGUGAAAUUCGUAGAUAUUCGCAAGAACACCAGUGGCGAAGGCGGCUCACUGGCCCGGUACUGACGCUGAGGUGCGAAAGCGUGGGGAGCGAACAGG